CCUGUUUUGCUGAAGGAGUUACCAAAGUUCAGCAUGUGUAACUGCGGUUUGAUGAGUCACGACUUUAAAAUUUUCCCCAAAGUGUUGAAGAAGGGGAGGGAGAUUUGUCAGGGGAGAACAUAGUCCUGUCAGAAGGGCUGACUAGCUGACUCCUUGUGGCUGAAGACUGAAACUCAACAGAUUCCACCCUCUAGGGUACACUUGGAACAAACAGAUCCCUGAGGCCUUCUCGAACUUUCCUCAAAAGGGCAGAUGGAAACCAAGGAAGAUAGAAAGGGAUGUCAGCAGCCUCAUGCCUGUCUCUGACAACUUCCAGAGAAGCAGCAGCUCUUGUUCCCUGAAAGUUCUUACACUGAACUCCACGCUGCUGGAGUAAAAAUGUCUUACCUUCUAUAACAAGAAUCUUGGGGACUCCAAGAAAUCCAGUGACUCUCUCGAGAAGCUAAGGGUUACCUAAGAAGGGUUGUCAUCGGAGCCUUGACAUCAGCAGUCAUUGUCCCUGAUGCUUCCUUGCCCGGAAUUGUUCCUGAUGAAAUGCAAGCUCCUCCGCCCUGUGUGACUAAAGGCAUUGAAAGCAAUGAAGAAUAUGAACAGGGGUUGGCUUGAAGCUAGACCUUGAUCGCUGACAGAUACAUUCCCAUGGAUGUUUUUCACCUGAGUUCGUUUAUCUCUUUUGAAGUGGAAGAGCUGGGAGUACCCGGGGAAUAGAUUUGACAUCAACAGAACACGGAGUUUUCUCAGGUGGCUCAUCGGAUAGAAAGAAAAGAAUACAACAGUGGAAAAGGAACAGCAAGGAGUUUAUGUGACAGAUAGCUAGUACCUGGUGAGCUGGCAUCCGUCGACUUCUCAUCUGAGGACCUCGAACAUAUCUUCCUUCAGCCCGUCUCUUCAGAAUAGACAGUUUUCCAGCAAUAUAGGAGAUAGAAAGCUGGAGUGGACAACGCGUGCCUUCUCAUGCAUACGUGCGACCGCUUCUCUAAUGGAAUUGCUGAAUAUCAAACUUUCCUGGAAAAACAUCAGAGACUAUGUCACAAAAGGUCACUAAGAAAAAUUACCGAAUGGAAAACCAUACAACUAGAAACGACAGCUCUGCCAAACUUUGCUGUGUGGCCCUGGACACAUCAUUUCA